AUUGAACGCUGGCGGCAGGCCUAACACAUGCAAGUCGAGCGAGCGGCGGACGGGUGAGUAAUGUCUGGGAAACUGCCUGAUGGAGGGGGAUAACUACUGGAAACGGUAGCUAAUACCGCAUACCAUCAGAUGUUCCCAGAUGGGAUUAGAUAGUAGGUGGGGUAACGGCUCACCUAGGCGACGAUCCCUAGCUGGUCUGAGAGGCUGACCAGCCACCCUGGAACUUCGACAAGGUCCAUACUCCUACGGUAGGCAGCAGUGGGGAAUAUGGCACAAUGGGAGCAAGCCUGAUGCAGCCAUGCCGCGUGUAUGAAGAAGGCCUUCGGGUUGUAAAGUACUUUCAGCGGGGAGGCGUUACCCGCAGAAGAAGCACCGGCUAACUCCGUGCCAGCAGCCGCGGUAAUUC
rnacentral:rRNA from 1 species